rnacentral:misc_RNA from 1 species
UCGUGGGGCUUCGGCCCCGUCGAGAUAACACCCUUGCCUUUAUGAGUACCUUGGUUCCCUCCCCCGACCUCCGGGGAGCGGGAGGGACCUCUUUGUUUCCCCGCGUAGCUCGCUACCGGGGACCGCAAAACACGCUGUAAUCACCUGUAACCGUCUGAUAAAACAAACAAAAAUCA